rnacentral:misc_RNA from 1 species
CAGCCCCGGCUUGGUGUUGGGCCCCCGGUGGUCGUACCCGACCACCCGCCUCAAAGAUAGUGACGGCGUCCCAAGAGGGAACCGGUACGAGGAGCUUUCACGAGCAUGUACGCGGGACGACUCUGUGGGCGACGGUCUUUUUUAACCUUAAUAUAUCAAGUGUUGACCUCGGAUCAGGUAGGAAUACCCGCUGAACUUAA